UACGGGGGGGGCAAGCGUUGUUCGGAAUUACUGGGCGUAAAGGGCUCGUAGGCGGCCAACUAAGUCGGACGUGAAAUCCCUCGGCUUAACCGGGGAACUGCGUCCGAUACUGGAUGGCUUGAGUUCGGGAGAGGGAUGCGGAAUUCCAGGUGUAGCGGUGAAAUGCGUAGAUAUCAGGAGGAAUACCGGUGGUGUAGACGGCUCUCUGGACCGCGACUGACGCUGAGACACGAAAGCGUGGGUAGCAAACAGG
rnacentral:rRNA from 1 species